CUCUCUCUCUCUCGUUUUUGUCUGUAUCGUUUUUUUUUUGGAUAUGAAGAACAUAUCCGAAUCAAUUUUUGAUUCCAAAAUUGUACUGCGACUCCCUCGGUUUGUUUUUUAGUCUUUCGUUUGCUACUAUGGAAUUUGAUGCAAUCAAUUUUCUGUUUUCCAAACUCGGGUUUUGGGAAUUUUGCUUAGGUUUUAUAUGUCGAUCCUCAUGAACAGAUUUCCUGAAAUUUGUUUCCUUAAUCGUCUAUAGUGUCAGGUUUUGGACCUGAAUAUCAAUGAACGAGUAUGUAGAAGUUUUGCCAGAGAAGAUAAGAAUCUAUUCCUGUCUUUCUUAUAAAUUGAAUCUGAUCAUUCUGCUUAAUAUAUCAUCUGACUUAUAGUCCAAAAAUAUUUGUUGUGUAGGCUAAUUUCAAAGACAACAUGGUAAUGAAAACGCAUCAUCUACGGGACUUGUUUCUACACACCAAUUCACAACAGUUUAAGAGCCACAAUCUGAAACUUUGGGACAGAUUCACGGAAAGCGAGAGACAGACCAUCAUUUGGAAGGCUGUAUGAAAUCAAAUGCAAAGUGUUAUAGGAAGGUGGGAGCCGAAUAUAACCUUUGUAUGUUUUCACUUUGACAAACCGCAGGACGCAAACCACUAUGACACCAUUUGAUGCCUGGCAGGCUCCAAAAACUUUGUCAGCGAAUGAGCCCCACAAGGUACACGAAACCCUCUCGUCCCUGUCAAUCAAAAUCUGAUUCUAGUUCAUGUUUUUUUGAAUAUAGGCUUAAAAUUAGGCAUACAAAUGUAACCUUUCGUCCCGCAUCUCAAACACGAGUUUAUGCAUUGGCUUGUUGUUAACUUCAACUGUCUCCAUAUCACCAAUGUUGACCACUUGAUUUGCAAAUUUUGUACCACAUAUAGAAACCAUUAGAGGAAAUUAAUGUUUUUAAAUCAUAGAUACUUUAAGAAUAUAAUAAAAAAUCUGAAACAAUUACCAAUUAACAUGUUAGUGUUAAGCUCUGGAUCCUCAACUCUUGCAAACUUUGUCAAGCUUAGGAAGUUUUAGUCGGACUUAGGAUCACUAACAACAACAUAGGUGUCGUUGACAAAACUAAGUUUGUACAAAUGAGUGGUCGGACGGAACUGACCAACCGCAUGAGUGAGUGAAAAGGUCUCAAUGAACCUCCAUGAGCCAAUGGGAAGGUGGUUGACAUAACGGUUCACCAAGUAUUUUUUCACGGACCCGUGUAUUUUCAUUCCCUAAAGGUAUAUUUUAUAGUGAGGGAAGAGAAAAUUAUGAAAAGAAUAGAUUACUUAAAAGUGAUACUUACAGUCUCGUCAGCCAAAAUGAGUUGAAGGGUUUCACUUUGACCUGGAUUCUCCAUGCAGUCUUGUAUGGACGGAUGUCGCGGAGGAAAGCAAAAAUACCGCCAUAGAAAAUUAGGCCUGAAGUUGAAGGAAGGUAAGAGGGAUUGUAGUUUCUAAAUUAGACCUUCUUUCGGCCUGAAGUUGAAGGAAGGUAACAUUUUUAUUGAUUGUAAUUAGAAUGGCAAUGUCUGUAAAUAAGUCUGAACUCAAAGGCUUCUUAUGAAAAAUGCUGUGAAAAUGUGAAAAUGUUAAUAUAGAUAAUUAACAUAUCAAAUGAAUAAUCAUAUACGUUAAUUUUA